UUUUCAUCAGACAAUCUGUGUGAGCACUGCAAAGAACGCUUCUUUAAGGUAAGGAGGUGAUCCAACCGCAGGUUCCCCUACGGUUACCUUGUUACGACUUCACCCCAGUCAUGAAUCACAAAGUGGUAAGCGCCCUCCCGAAGGUUAAGCUACCUACUUCUUUUGCAACCCACUCCCAUGGUGUGACGGGCGGUGUGUACAAGGCCCGGGAACGUAUUCACCGUGGCAUUCUGAUCCACGAUUACUAGCGAUUCCGACUUCAUGGAGUCGAGUUGCAGACUCCAAUCCGGACUACGACGCACUUUAUGAGGUCCGCUUGCUCUCGCGAGGUCGCUUCUCUUUGUAUGCGCCAUUGUAGCACG
rnacentral:rRNA from 1 species